CCUACGGGUGGCAGCAGUGGGGAAUAUUGGGCAAUGGGCGCAAGCCUGACCCAGCAACGCCGCGUGAAGGAAGAAGGCUCUUCGGUUUUUAACCUCCUUUUAGAGGGAAGAGCAGAAGACGGUACGUAUUGAAUAAGCAACGGCUAACUACGUGCCAGCAGCCGCCGUAAUAAGUAGGUGGCAAGCGUUGUCCGGAGUUACUGGGUGUAAAGGGAGUGCAGGCGGGAAGAUAAGUCAGAUGUGAAAUCCAGCGGCUCAACCGCGGAACUGCAUUUGAUACUGUUUGUCUUGAGUACCGGAGAGGUAAUCGGAAUUCCCUGUGUAGCAGUGAAAUGCGUAGAUAUAAGGAAGAACACCCGUGGCGAAGGCGGAUGACUGGACGGCAACUGACGGUGAGGCGCGAAAGCGUGGGGAGCGAACAGGAUUAGAUACCCGGGUAGUC
rnacentral:rRNA from 1 species